rnacentral:rRNA from 1 species
GAUGAACGCUGGCGGCGUGCCUAAUACAUGCAAGUCGAGCGAACAGACGAGGAGCUUGCUCCUUUGACGUUAGCGGCGGACGGGUGAGUAACACGUGGGUAACCCACCUAUAAGACUGGGAUAACUUCGGGAAACCGGAGCUAAUACCGGAUAAUAUUUCGAACCGCAUGGUUCGAUAGUGAAAGAUGGCUUUGCUAUAACUUAUAGAUGGACCUGCGCCGUAUUAGUUAGUUGGUAAGGUACCGGCUUACCAAGGCAACGAUCCGUAGCCGACCUGAGAGGGUGAUCGGCGACACUGGAGGUGGGCCACGCACCUGGGUCCUACGGGAGGCCGCAGUAGGGAAUGGUCGGCAAUGGGGGGAAGCCUGACGGAGCGGCGCCACGUGGGUGAUGAGGGUCUUCGGAUCGUAAAACUGUCUUAUGAGGGAAAAACAAACGUGUAAGUAACUGUGCACGUCGUGACGGUACCUAGUCAAAAAGCCCCGGCUAACUACGUG